rnacentral:rRNA from 1 species
AUGGACGACGACCGCCGUCGCGUGUCUGCACGACUAGAAGAAUCUCCCGAGACACUUGUGUCAAAUUCUGAAUCUGCAGAAUUGCUGCAUCUGCUCAUUAGCAAGAUGUCCAUUGAAGAAAGGAAAAUAAGUUUGAUAAACAGGACGACUUCGUUAAAUCCUAAUGCGGUAGAAUUUGUUCCUUCAUGCCUUAGAUCUAUGAGUGAUGCUUCAAACAGAUCGGACACAACCAAGAUUCCUGUCUCAGAGUCCUCCAAGGAAAUCAGCGCAGACCAACCAGAGUCUGUACCAAGCAACCCUGAUGAAGAAGCACAUCGGUAUUGGCAACAACAGCUUCCAGAUGAUAUCACUCCUGAUUUCAACGUUCUUGGCCAAGAUGAGACUCCUGGACCUGACAGUCUUUCACUCACGGGCUUGUCAGUGAAUGAUGGCUUUGGUGCUUCACUAUUUUCUCCAAAGCAGACAUCAAGAAUGCAGCACCAUGCUUCUCCAUUUGUUAGGGACACGCUAAGUACACGAGGGAAGUUUGAAUUUCCUGGCCAAGAACAGCCGCAAGCUACUAUUAUGAGUCCCACUGCAAGUACUAUGAGUCCAACUGCUGCUCCAUGGGUAAAGACAGUAAGAAACGGUGGACAAUAUGGUACAAACAGAAGGGAUGCUAGUCACUACAAUGGAGAUUCUAGCAUUGGAUCCCCACUGCAGUCUGAUGCUUAUUACAGAAACCGGCGUAGCUUUAGGUCAAGUAUGGACAUCAUGACUCAGCUGGAGAAUAAAGUUGAUGGACGACUCAAUCAGAAUCUCAGGUCACUGUCAUUUGGACAUUCAAGUCCCCCAUCACCAGUAUCAUAUGCUCAAAAUGGUCUUGCCAACUAUAACAAAGAGGCUUUUGGUCUGCCGAACAGUCCAUACAGAUCUCAUUCAGCCAUACUCACAGAUGAUAUAAUUUCACCUUCAGCUGGCAGGGAACGUUUAUCCCUAGAUUCUCCGAGGGGGAGGUACAAGACAACUAAUUUGCCUGUUACUAGUCUUGGUUCAAGCAGAGGCUCUCAUCUGUUGGCUGGCUCAUACAACGGUAAUCAUGAUAUGAUCUCAAACAACACACUGCAAAACAUUGCUGGAGUUCAAACGGGACCAACUUGGCUCGACACAGAUGCUACGGCUAACAUGUUUUUGGAAAAGGAUGAAGUUCAUGAUUUUGCAAGUCUAAGACAAGCACUUCUUGAACAGCAGGAUAGGCAAGCUUUUCUAACUGGUGGCAAUCCUUUAGCAAAGGAACUAAAUAUUAAGGAGCUGUACUCUAUCCAAAGCAGAUUAGCUCAGGAGAAGGCUAGAGAAAAUAUAUAUCAACAGAGAUUCCAGAUGCCAGAGUUGCAAGGCCUCAUCCAGGAGCAGAAUCCCGCGAUCGAUCUUUGUGGUCUUCAUGCAAGUGAGGCUAUGCACGUCCUGAACAAUGAACUCAACAACCGGAGGAAGAUCGCCCGUUCCACGGGCCGCCGGCUCCAGGCCAUCAUUAUCUCUAACCCCCGUACCCCUGCGAGGUUGACCGCCGCCAUCGAGCAGUACCUCCUGGAGCACGGCCUUCAGUACACGCAGGCACAGCCGGGCCUCUUCCGCGUCCUGCUGCAGUGA